CAAAUAUUUAAAUAUAAGCCAUAGAUUUAUAUAUUAAAAAACUGCUUGUUGAUUUAAACUUUUAAAGUUCCCGUAGGAAAUAUCAAUUAAAACUUUAAAAAAGCAAAAGUAAAGUAAACAUUAAAUUCAAAUGAAUGACAUGAAUCUGAUUCGGUAUGGUGAAUCAGGAGAUCCCUUCGCGCUUCGUUAAUCGUCGCACUCUCUUUUUAGCUUAAGUUACAGCAAAAUUUAUUGUUAUCAUAAGCAAUAUCAAAUAUGAAAUAGUAUACUAAUUAAAAUUAAUACUUGCUUAUAGCAAGGCUUACUAGCGCCAUUGUCCUGAUAAAUAAAUAUUUAAAAUUUUGGACGUUCAGGCCCAACAGCUGGACGUUCAGGCCCACGUAAAAAGUGGGCCUGAAAGCCGGGGCCUGAACGCCGGGGCCUGAACGUCCAUGACCCAUUUUUCUU